rnacentral:lncRNA from 1 species
AGAAGGCUCAAUGAAGGAGAAAGUGAUGACAGUACAGGCAGUGAUAAUGAAUAAAUAACCAGUUUUAAUCAAGUACGCCAAAGAAAUGAUUCAAAUAAAUCAAAACAUUUUGGGAACACACUGUAUGUAGAAUGGGGAAGUCCUACGAAAGGAUGACCCAAGAACUACUGGGGCGGGGGGGGGUGCCUGUUAGGAAAUUCAUCAAUUUAUGAUUCCUACUAUUUGAUCACCCAUACCUUCAAAGUAUUACAGACUUAAAAAAAAAAAAAAACUAAGACAUAUUCUGUCCCUGUGUUUCACAGCUCUUUUGGAUAGAUAGCAUGUCUUUUACAUAACCUCCUGGGAGAGGUAGCACCAGCUCCUGUUCUCGUCGCUCCCGGGAGCCUGCCACCCAUGUUCUCUGGGACAGCUUCUGUCAUCAUCAACAUCCUCAUCUCACCCUGGAGACUAUACAAUGAGAGUCUCCGAUCCUGGCAGCCAAGGCGUUAUAAAUGGUUAUUUUAUCGGGGGGGAGAUUUGGAGAAAGCUUGACCACAGGAUGAGCUCCCCUCACCCAAAGGCAGAGGAGUCCCAACCUCCACCCCUCCAAAGUCAGCCGGCGAUGCCUGCAGCAGGGUCGCAGCCGUCCCCAGGUCCAAGAGUCGGACCGCUGCUCUCCACCUCGGCCCGAGCCCUGGGCGGGGGAGGGGAGCUCGCUAAGGAUAAAGGGGCAGGAGAGGUGAAUGGCGCGACACCAGGGGCCGCGGGGCAGGUACAGCACGCCGCUGGAGGGGCGGGUCCCUCGGCCCCAUCCGGAGGUCGGCUUGCCGCGGAGCUUGGGGAAGCAGGAGGCCUCCGGGGUCCCCCGAGCCAAGAGAGUUCCUCCGGCUCCGCCCGCCACCUACCCGGGACCCCGGCAGCCCCGCUCCGAGGCGACCCCAGAACGGCCCCAGGCGGCCUCUCCCAGCCAGCGGAGCAAAUUCACAGGCGACCCAGAAGGCAAACGAGGAGGCGUUACCGUUCGCGGCAGUGGAGUGGCGGGGGUGGGGCACGGCUCCGGCGACCCGAGCCCUGCUCGGCAGCGACGGUGGUGGCCGCGUCCUUUAUUUUUGCUGCAGCAUCGGCGACUUGUCAAAGGGAAAGACGUAUACCUGGAGAGAUGAUGUCAUUGUUGAUGGUGCUUUAUGAUCUGGGUAUUGUGUAUGUGUGAAGCUGACUCAAGACUACCAAGCCCUCUUGUUUUGUUUCAUUUGCUGUCCUGGGGAUUGAGCCCAGGGCCUUGCACAUGUUAAACAUUGCUUCUAACACUAAACUACACCCCCAACCCCUUGUCAUCCUCAUUUUAACUUCUUGAUGAUGUAGUCAUCUAUGCCACUCGCAAAUAUCCAUGACAUUCGGUUUUUCCUGAUUGUCUAAAAUUGUAUUGUACUCCUUUUGUCCAUUCUCUUUCAAGAAAAGGUGCAGGGCCGGGAAUUUAGCUCAGUGGUUCUGGCACCUGCCUGAUAAGUGCAAGGUCCCAAGUUCAAUCCCUGGUACCAAAAAAAAAAAUAAAAAUUGAACCUGCUUAUCAAGAAAAAGUGCAGAGCUUUUAAGGCCAAUUGAAAGAGUCCUUCCUUUGUCCUCUCCCUAGCUUCAACCAUCAGGGGUUUGUGCAGAAGAGAACCAAAUACAGUAAGAGUCCAACUGCAUGUAAUUAUUUAAUACAGUUAAUGUCAGAAAGUAAGCCCUGACUGCUCCCCACCCUCACCUUGGCCAUACCACUCUUUCAUACUUCAAUCAACAUCUCCUGGAGCCCCAUAGUCAGCAUCUUUCUCCCAAUUCUGCCACUCCAUUUUAUCUGGAUCACCCUUAGAGAACGUGUUGGAGAUAGAAGUGGAAGGAGGAAUCUCAAGCCCAAGGCCUCAGCACCACAGGCCUUUGCCCUGAUAGUCCUCUGAGCAACAUAAAUCUGGCCACACGAAAGCCACAGCUUCCUCCCCUCACACAUAGCAACCACCUCCAUCUCACACUGUCACCAGAUUGGGCCCAAGGAGAUCCCCCCAAAAAAGGAGCUAGGGAUCUCAACUCAUCCUCCUGACACACCCACAGAACACAUUCUUGACUGUGGAAUUGCAGGACUCAUCGGUGAAAGGCAUAAGCAGAUUUAUUAAGCAGAAUCAAAGAGGUACACACUUGGAAGGAGGGGAGUGUCGGCAUUCGAGGGUAAGGUUUACUACCGUCUGGGUUGGAGGUGCUUUUGUGGUCUUGGGGUGUCCUCAAGACAGAUGAUUGACGAUGUGUAUACCUGGUACCAGGCCACCCUUUCCUGGCCUGCGUUAAAAUGCAGACCAUUUGCAUGUAUUGGAAGUUGAGGAUAUAGCAGUACUCCAAUCAGUGGUGCUAUUUCCUUGGGUGUAAAAAUCGGUAGGAUCUGUGAAUUUAUACUAUGGAAGAAAAGCACAGGCCCAAUAUACACACUUAUUUGAUUUUAAAGACUCUUAGAAAUUAGGAGUGAAAGAUUUAGAAGGGGAAAAAAACAGGCCUGGGGUGAAAACACCAUUGUAAUCUUGGGUGACUUUGAUUGUAUCUUGAAACUUCAAUUUUCUUAAAAGUACAGUUGCAAAAUUACAAUUUACUUCUUGUCUGUCUUCUUCCUACCUUUAUUCUAUCAUAGCUCAAU